GACGUAGGGCGCGAGCGUUGUCCGGAUUUAUUGGGCGUAAAGAGCUCGUAGGCGGUUUGUCGCGUCGACUGUGAAAACCCACGGCUCAACCGUGGGCUUGCAGUCGAUACGGGCAGGCUAGAGUUCGGUAGGGGAGACUGGAAUUCCUGGUGUAGCGGUGAAAUGCGCAGAUAUCAGGAGGAACACCGGUGGCGAAGGCGGAUCUCUGGGCCAUUACUGACGCUGAGGAGCGAAAGCGUGGGGAGCGAACAGG
rnacentral:rRNA from 1 species